rnacentral:piRNA from 1 species
UAAAGCGUUGCCCACAAAACUGAGAAA